rnacentral:rRNA from 1 species
UGAGGAAUAUUGGACAAUGGGUGGAAGCCUGAUCCAGCCAUCCCGCGUGAAGGAUGACGGCCUUAUGGGUUGUAAACUUCUUUUAUAUGGGGAUAAACCUACUCACGUGUGAGUAGCUGAAGGUACCAUAUGAAUAAGCACCGGCUAACUCCGUGCCAGCAGCCGCGGUAAUACGGAGGGUGCAAGCGUUAUCCGGAUUUAUUGGGUUUAAAGGGUCCGUAGGCGGAUUAAUAAGUCAGUGGUGAAAGCCCAUCGCUUAACGAUGGAACUGCCAUUGAUACUGUUAGUCUUGAGUGAGGUUGCAGUGGCUGGAAUGUGUAGUGUAGCGGUGAAAUGCUUAGAUAUUACGCAGAACACCAAUUGCGAAGGCAGGUCACUAAGCCUCAACUGACGCUGAUGGACGAAAGCGUGGGGAGCGAACAGG